AAUUUUAAUUCGGACUACUUAAUAAAGUUUCAUCUAAACAAUGUCUUCUUAUUUCAAUUCUCUUGCUAAUCCUGACAAAGAAUUUUAUUUGAAGAAAUUGACAUUAGAAAAUAAUGUUUUGCUUACCGACCCUUAUGGUAUCGAAGAAAAAUUUUGGAAAAACAAUGUUAGUUUGUUUCCUGAAGUCAGUUAUGGUGAUAUGUACACAUUUUUAGUAGAAUCACAAAGUUUAUAUAGCAAAGAAAUUCUUACCAAGUCAAAGACAAGGGAAAAAAGCAGCAAUGUAUGAUGUUUGGAUUUAUGUUCACAAAUCCAAAGGAUAUUAUUUAAAUGGAAACUGCAGUUGUGUUGCUGGAUUUGGAUCAGCUUGCAGUCAUAUGGCAGCUCUACUUUUUAAAGUUGAAGCCUGUAUAAGACUUGAAAUCAAUAAAACUGCUUGUACAAGUUUACAAUGUGAAUGGAAUUGAUCUCAAAGCAUGUUAGUCCCACAGCAUUAGUAAGCAUAAAUUUUAGCUGCUCAAAAAAAAAAAAAAGUUACCCCUGCAUAAUCAAUUAUCCAAGAAUGUUGAUGAAAAUUGUUAUUCUUAUAAACAGUAUGCUAGUAUUUCAAAGUACAAGUUUAAUGAACUGAAAGAAAUAGAACUUGAUGCUGCUGUUCUAACAAGUAUUGAUGAAACUGAUUUUUUGUAUUCUAGUGAAACUGAUACAGUAGAAGAAACUGAUAAAACAUGUAUCUCAAAACCUUUGACAUAUCUAUUUGAACCAAAUUUAACAAAAUUUUCACAAGAAGCUUUAAUAAAUAAAGACAAACAGCAAUUUAAACUUUACAAAACAUGUUAUACUCAAAAAUCUUUUGACAGAUUAUCAGAAAUAACUUGUGCUCAACGUUUUUCACAGUGUUGGAAAGAGCAUAAAUGUGGUAGGAUUACUGCCUCUUACUUUUAUGAAGCAUGUCACUUGUUAAAAAAUGAUAAUAAAAGUUUUAUUAACAAAAUCCUGCAGUAUAAAUUUUUUGAUGGAACAAUAGCUACAAAGUAUGGAGCUUAAAAUAAAGGUAAAGCGAGAGAAAAAUAUUUUCAAAUUAUGUCAGAACAACAUAAAAAUUUCAAAAUAACUUUGACAGGAUUGCAUGUCAAUGAAAAAUUUCCUGAAAUCGGUGUAAGUCCUAAUGCAUUUGUAGAAUGUUAUUGUCAUGGAAAAGGCCUUGUGGAAAUUAAAUGCCUUUACAAAUAUGAAAAUGGUUUUGAAUAUUCAAAGAAUGAUAAAAAAUUUCCAUUGAAUUUUAAUCGUAUAAUUAAAAUAGAACACCCUUACUACUAUCAAAUGCAAGGCCAAAUGUUAAUAUGUGAUUUACCUUAUUGUGAUUUAUUUAUAUGAUCCCCUAAUGAAUUUUACUCUCAUCACUUGUCAAAGAAUGAACCGUUUUGUGAAGACAUGCUUGUUAAGUUAAGUAAUGUGUUUACUUUGAAGAUUUUACUGAAUUAUUGACUAGGAGUUGUUUGCCAAAUUCAGUAUAUUCAAGUAAAGUCUACUGUUUUCGUAAAAAAGCACAAUUUGGUCAAAUUGUUCUAUGUUGCAAUAUUAAUUGCAAGUAUGAAUGGUUUCAUUUUGUAUGUAUUGGAAUAAAAGAAAUUCCUAAAAGAAAAUGGUACUGUCCUCCCUGUCUAAAUACAGAUAAGACAAUGUAACUUUAAGAUUUAUCUUUUAAUAUAUUGUAAAUUAUAGUAUGUCAAUAUAUAAUUUCCUCAAUACAUAAUUUUGUUGAAAAAAAGUAUUCAAAUACUA